rnacentral:rRNA from 1 species
CCCAGAUGGGAUUAGCUUGUUGGUGGGGUAACGGCUCACCAAGGCGACGAUCCCUAGCUGGUCUGAGAGGAUGACCAGCCACACUGGAACUGAGACACGGUCCAGACUCCUACGGGAGGCAGCAGUGGGGAAUAUUGCACAAUGGGCGCAAGCCUGAUGCAGCCAUGCCGCGUGUAUGAAGAAGGCCUUCGGGUUGUAAAGUACUUUCAGCGGGGAGGAAGGGAGUAAAGUUAAUACCUUUGCUCAUUGACGUUACCCGCAGAAGAAGCACCGGCUAACUCCGUGCCAGCAGCCGCGGUAAUACGGAGGGUGCAAGCGUUAAUCGGAAUUACUGGGCGUAAAGCGCACGCAGGCGGUUUGUUAAGUCAGAUGUGAAAUCCCCGGGCUCAACCUGGGAACUGCAUCUGAUACUGGCAAGCUUGAGUCUCGUAGAGGGGGGUAGAAUUCCAGGUGUAGCGGUGAAAUGCGUAGAGAUCUGGAGGAAUACCGGUGGCGAAGGCGGCCCCCUGGACGAAGACUGACGCUCAGGUGCGAAAGCGUGGGGAGCAAACAGGAUU